rnacentral:rRNA from 1 species
AUUGAACGCUGGCGGCAGGUCUAACACAUGCAAGUCGAACGAGUGGCGGACGGGUGAGUAAUGUCUGGGAAACUGCCUGAUGGAGGGGGAUAACUACUGGAAACGGUAGCUAAUACCGCAUACCAUCGGAUGUGCCCAGAUGGGAUUAGCUAGUAGGUGGGGUAAAGGCUCACCUAGGCGACGAUCCCUAGCUGGUCUGAGAGGAUGACCAGCCAAACUGGGACGGAGACACGGACCAGACUCCGACGGGAGGCAGAAGGGGGGAAUAUUGCACAAUGGGCUCAAGCCGGAGGCAGAAAUGAGGCGUGUAUGAAGAAGGGAAGAGGGGUGUAAAGUACGUUCAGGGUGGAGGCGUUACCCGCAGAAGAAGCACAGGCUAACUCCGUGCCAGCAGCCGCGGUAAUUC